rnacentral:rRNA from 1 species
UACGAAGGGGGCUAGCGUUGUUCGGAAUUACUGGGCGUAAAGCGCGUGUAGGCGGCCCAGCAAGUCGGAUGUGAAAGCCCCUGGGCUUAACCUAGGAAGUGCACUUCGAAACUGCUGGGCUUGAGUUCUGGAGAGGGAAGCGGAAUUCUCGGUGUAGAGGUGAAAAUUCGUAGAUAUCGAGAGGAACGCCGGUGGCGAAGGCGGCUUCCUGGACAGUGACUGACGCUGAGACGCGAAAGCGUGGGGAGCAAACAGG